rnacentral:rRNA from 1 species
UCCUUAGAUGUUCUGGGCCGCACGCGCGCUACACUGACGAAUGCAACGAGCUUAUAACCUUGGCCGAAAGGUCUGGGUAAUCUCCAAAUUUCGUCGUGAUGGGGAUAGAUUAUUGCAAUUAUUAAUCUUCAACGAGGAAUGCCUAGUAAGCGCAAGUCAUCAGCUUGCGUUGAUUACGUCCCUGCCCUUUGUACACACCGCCCGUCGCACCUACCGAUCGAAGGUAAUGAUGAGCCCUCAGGAUUGUGGCCUCGUCGCGUCAGCGUCUUGGCUGCGAGAAUCUGUGCAAAUCCCUACCUUUAGAGGAAGGUGAAGUCGUANCA